UCAACAAUGAGAAUGUGAUUGUAACCAAGGUUUAUGAUUAAUCUAGUACCUCAUGACUCAAGUUCAUU
rnacentral:snoRNA from 1 species